ACUUUAGUUGUUUUCCUCCAUUUUUCCAGAUUAUUUUAAAGUUUAAAAAAAACACACGAGCUUCCAACGUGUUGUCAUGUGGAGCAGCUAGCACACCUAGCGGAGAAGCUAACCGCAGCUGGGACUGUACACGUCCCUCUCGGUCAGAGUUUGCUCUGUGUUUGUGCAGCCGUUAAUUGAGCAACGCAUGACCACCAACCUCCCGUCUCGACCACACACUGUUCAUGAAAAGUCGUCCCGAUGUCAACAAUGAGCAACAGUGAGGAGCCCAAAGUGACCACAGCCCCACACAUAGUGGACGAGGAGCUCAUGGCAACGGGAAAAUGGAUAAAACUGGAGAAAACAACGUACGUGGACCCAGCUGGAAACACCAGAACCUGGGAGACUGUGAAGAGGACAACGAGGCAGACCCACAUAGAAGUGGACGGUGUGGGAAUCAUCGCCCUCCUGAAACGGACGCUCCAUAAAGACUGUGUAGUGAUGGUGAAGCAGUUUCGUCCUCCUAUGGGAUGCUGCUCUCUGGAGUUUCCUGCAGGGUUGAUCGACGAGGGGGAAACGGUGGAAGUUGCUGCCCUGAGGGAGCUGAAGGAAGAAACCGGCUACAAGGGCGAAGUAGCAGGAGUUACUCCAGUGACCUGCCUGGACCCCGGGCUGUCUAACUGCACCACUCAAAUCGUCAUGGUCAACAUCAACGGAGACGACAUGGAGAAUAUCAACCCGACGCAACAGCUUGGUGAGCAGGGUUCAAACAUUCAUGCACCUACUGAUUCAUUUGUUCGGUCCCUUAUCCUUGUUUGAUUAAACAUUUAACCCUCAUCCUCUCACACUUGUUCAUCCUUUUAUUUGCUCAGUUAUUAUAUGAUUUAGUCUCUGGCUCAUUUCAUUCCUGUCACCCCUUACUCAUUCUCAAAUGCCGGACCUCUUGUACCAUGUUAGUCAUCAUUUAAUCAUUCUCAAAUCUGAAUUAAGUCUGAGCUGUGACCAAGAUCCACAAGAGGGACUGUUGAACGAGUACAGUCAGUCAGUAGCCACUCGGGGAGUAAAACUUGUUCUGCUUGUUCAACUAGAACAAAGAAUCCAACACAUUUAUACGCCUCUAUGCCCGUACAUUAACUUGCUUACAGUAUUAAAAUGGACCCCCACAGAUUUUCGUGUUUUAAAAUGAGCAGAACUCUACGGUUCUGUGUCAUGAAAGUGUUUGCUUGAAACAUACAAAUAGUUUUAACCAUCUCCUGUUGUGUUCUCCCACAGGCGAUGGAGGUGAGUUACCUUUUUAUUACUUUUCAGAAAUAAUCUUUUUUCUUCCAUAAGACAAAUCAUCACACAUCAUCACCACUUGUAUCUUCUCUCUCCAGAAUUUGUAGAAGUCAUCCUUUUACCUCUUGAUGAAUUCCAGUCGAAAAUAGACGAUCUGAUGAAGAAAGAGAAAAUUGUGGUGGAUGCUAAAGUUUACAUCUUCGCCAUGGGGAUGGUUCAGGCCUUCUUCAAACCGAGGGAGCUCCCUGUCCUGAAGCAGUAAAGCGUCCCGGGGAUCGAAAGGAAUAACUGUCUUUAGUUAUAUUCCUAGGGCUCCUACACAGGACUGGAAAGAUUUGAAAAAGCACAAUUAAGGAAACAGUUGAUUUCCCUCUUCUAAUAAGGCCUCAUGUGAAGUAUUAGACUUGAACUGUGGCUUUAUACCCCAUGUAACCACACCCAGUAUUUUAAUAUUUGUCCAUUGAGCAACAUGGCAGAAAAUGCAAUGAAAUUGAACACGACAUUUAUGAAAUCAAAUCAUUAAAAUCAAAGUCUUACAAAAAAAACCUUGGUUUAAGAAACUGAGCCUAUGAAGGAGCCCUAGUUACGCUACAUGUCCUGGACCAAUGUUUGCUCUCAGUAUGGAGGAACUGUAGAACACCGUGAGGCUGCACAAUCCGGUGGCCGAGUAUUUGCACGCUUAACGCCGAAAAUAUCUCAGGCUUUAGUCUUGUAUGCCUCAAGUGACUAACAGUUGUUAACAGGUUUUUACGAGAGUAUAAGUAGUUUGAUAGGAUGCCAUUUAUUUUGAUUUUUUUUUUUUUUAUCUUGUAAUUGUGAAACAUUCCUUACAUUCCCUAAUAUAGGUUUUGCUGAAUAUAUGGAGGGAAAAACAUCACCUCACUCCAUCUAAACUCUGGUUCUUAGUUUGAUAUAUUCAUUCUUUUUCUCAACUAGAACUUUGAAAAUAAGGUUUUGGUUUCAGUCUCCAAGAAUCCAAGAUUUGGAUUACAAACAUUUAACAGAUCUAUCAGUCUGCCAAAUCACAAAAUAUAUCCUGCAAUGUAUUAAAAGUAACAUAUUUUGGACUAUUAACAGUUUUAACUAAAUUAGUUUUUUUUUGGUUUGACUCCAUAGUAAAUGAGCAACAGAUGUACUUUUCUGAUAAAAUCUGUAAUUGACCAAAAGGAUCCUGUGCUGUGCCUCUAACCUCAUUACGGUGCAAUUAACUGACGAAUGAAUAAAUGUCAUACUACCUA